CACGUAGGGGGCGAGCGUUGUCCGGAUUUAUUGGGCGUAAAGAGCUCGUAGGUGGUUUGGUAAGUCGGAUGUGAAAUCUCCAGGCUCAACCUGGAGGGGUCAUUCGAUACUGCCAUGACUAGAGGUCGGUAGGGGAGUGUGGAAUUCCUGGUGGAGCGGUGAAAUGCGCAGAUAUCAGGAGGAACACCCGUAGCGAAGGCGGCACUCUGGGCCGAUUCUGACACUGAGGAGCGAAAGCGUGGGGAGCGAACAGG
rnacentral:rRNA from 1 species